rnacentral:lncRNA from 1 species
GGAAACAUUUUUACAUUUAUCCACAUAGGUGUCUUAAUUUUCCUAAAGAAACAUCCCCACUCUCCAGAGGUGCCAAAUAAAUAUUUAUUGAAAUCCAUGUCAUGAUGAAUUUUCUGCCUGCCAAAAAUAAUCAUUACUUUAUUGCAGUAGGAGUGGGAUGCUUUAAAUUUAGAGACACGGGUUUUUCUGGAAGAGGACUUCCCAUGUGGAUUCAGCUUGUGGAUUGUACGUCAAUUGUCUUUUUUCUUGGAAAUAAAUUAAUUUGCUCAUUUAAAAAAAUGAUGCAGGAAGCAUACGAGUACUUUUUCUCUGAGCAACUUGGCUUUUUAAGUUUCUGUUAUGCUUCAGUCAUUACAUCCAAAAUGUUUGGAAGUUUCUUGUACAAACAAAAAAAAUUAACCUUCAAUGCACAUAGGCUGCUCUCUCACCUUCAUGACCACCGAGUGCUUGCUCUAGCUUUCAUGGCCUGUGAUCAAUACCUGGUCAUUUGUAAUCCUCCUUUGUAUAUGGUCACCAUGUCCCCCCCGCAAGGAGUCUGCAUUCAGCUUAUGCCUGCCUCCUAUAGCUAUAGCUUCCUGAUGACACUUUCACAUUAUCCUCAGCCUUUGUCUCCCUUAUUGCCCCUCUGUAUCAUUGAUGUUCAAUGGAAGCCUGUUCCUUAUGUACUUAAUGCUCAGAAAAUUCUCUUGACACAGACAGGAUGGCCUCUGUCUUCUACACAGUAGUCAUUCCCAUGUUGAGCCCUUUGAUCUGGAGCCUCAGGAACAAGGAUGUGAAAGAUGCCCUGAGGAAAGUCAUUGUCAACAGAAACCAGGCAUUAUUUUGUUCA